CGGUGUCAUGGCAACAAAGUGUGCGUCCUGAGGGCUCUGCUGAGAAUCCUUUAAUUUACUGGGUCGUCUUGUGUGACUUGUGGUGGCUGGACGAUGCAUGGGAAGGACUCCAGGAGACCCUAAAGCCUCGCUAUGGAAUUGUCACUUUUUCUGAUGAGUAGCAGCAAUGAGCCCUGUUCUAUCAGCCACCAGAUGCCAAUGGACAUAUACAGACACACAGAUGUGUACUUUACCAUGGUUUUAUGGCACGUCUCUAUCACGUUAUGCUGAUGACAAGAUUUACAAGCCAAAAGAAA
rnacentral:lncRNA from 1 species